CAUGUGCCAAGUCAAUAGUCAGACGACAAGUGAUUUUUGUCGCAGAAAUCCAGUCUCUCUAACUAGCUCUCUUAUUUAAAACCCUAAAACCCCGAUCCCCACCAUUUCACUCCCACUACAAAACCCAACAUUACCAUGUACCUCUACAGCCUCACUCUCCAACGAGCUACCGGAAUCGUUUCCGCCAUAAACGGCAACUUCUCCGGCGGCAAAGCACAAGAAAUCGUUGUUGCUCGCGGCAAAGUUCUCGAUCUCCUCCGACCUGACGAGAACGGUAAGCUACAAACAGUUCUCUCUGUUGAAAUAUUCGGUGCUAUUCGCUCAUUAGCUCAGUUUAGACUAACUGGAGCUCAAAAAGAUUAUAUUGUUGUUGGUUCCGAUUCGGGCAGGAUUGUAAUUUUAGAAUAUAACAAGGAGAGAAAUGUCUUUGACAAAAUUCAUCAAGAAACUUUUGGAAAAUCUGGUUGUCGCCGUAUUGUUCCGGGUCAGUAUUUGGCUGUGGAUCCGAAAGGAAGGGCUGUUAUGAUUGGUGCCUGUGAGAAACAGAAGCUAGUUUAUGUUUUGAAUAGAGAUACUGUUGCUAGGUUAACCAUUUCUUCGCCUUUAGAGGCACAUAAGUCGCAUACUAUAUGUUACUCAGUAUGUGGUGUUGAUUGUGGGUUUGAUAAUCCGAUUUUUGCUGCGAUUGAGUUGGAUUAUUCGGAAGCUGAUCAGGACUCGACAGGGCAAGCUGCUAGUGAAGCGCAGAAGAAUUUGACAUUUUAUGAGCUUGAUCUGGGGCUUAAUCAUGUGUCUAGGAAAUGGUCUGAGCAGGUUGAUAAUGGCGCUAAUAUGCUUGUUACAGUACCUGGAGGUGGUGAUGGGCCAAGUGGGAUUUUAGUUUGUGCGGAGAAUUUCGUGAUUUAUAAGAAUCAAGGGCAUCCUGAUGUGAGGGCUGUGAUUCCUAGGCGUGCUGAUUUGCCCGCUGAACGUGGGGUUUUGAUAGUUUCUGCAGCAACACAUAAGCAGAAAUCGAUGUUUUUCUUUUUGUUGCAGACUGAGUACGGUGACAUUUUUAAGGUUACACUGGAUCAUGAGAAUGACAAGGUUAAGGAGUUGAAGAUUAAGUAUUUUGACACGAUCCCGGUUACUUCUUCGAUAUGUGUGUUGAAAUCAGGGUUUUUGUUUGCUGCGUCAGAGUUUGGGAAUCAUGCAUUGUAUCAGUUUCAGGCCAUUGGGGAGGAAGAGGAUGUGGAGGCCUCCUCUGCUACUUUGAUGGAAACCGAGGAAGGCUUCCAGCCUGUUUUUUUCCAGCCAAGAGGGUUAAAGAAUCUUGUUAGGAUUGACCAGGUUGAGAGCUUGAUGCCUAUUAUGGACAUGAAGGUUGCUAAUCUUUUUGAUGAAGAAACCCCUCAGAUAUUUUCACUUUGUGGGCGGGGUCCUCGCUCCUCAUUGAGGAUACUGAGGCCUGGUUUGGCUAUUAGUGAGAUGGCUGUGUCACAGCUUCCUGGUGUACCAAGUGCUGUUUGGACUGUGAAAAGGAAUCUUAAUGAUGAGUUUGAUGCAUAUAUUGUUGUGUCCUUCAACAACGCAACUCUUGUGCUUUCAAUUGGAGAAACAGUUGAGGAAGUUGGCGAUAGUGGGUUUCUUGAUACCACACCUUCCCUUGCUGUUUCUUUAAUUGGUGAUGAUUCUUUGAUGCAAAUUCACCCAAAUGGCAUAAGACAUAUUAGGGAAGAUGGGCGUAUUAAUGAGUGGAGAACUCCUGGAAAGAGGACAAUUGUGAAAGUUGGCUCAAAUAGACUUCAAGUGGUUAUUGCUUUAAGUGGAGGAGAGCUUAUAUAUUUUGAGGUGGAUAUGACUGGUCAGCUAAUGGAGGUGGAGAAGCAUGAGAUGUCUGGAGAUGUGGCCUGUUUGGACAUUGCCCCUGUUCCAGAAGGAAGACAGAGGUCUCGAUUCCUAGCAGUUGGUUCGUAUGAUAACACCAUCCGUGUCUUGUCUUUGGAUCCUGAUGACUGUAUGCAGAUUCUGAGUGUGCAAAGUGUUUCAGCGCCUCCAGAAUCCCUCCUGUUUCUUGAGGUUCAGGCAUCAAUUGGUGGUGAAGAUGGUGCUGAUCACCCUGCCAGUCUUUUCCUCAAUGCUGGUUUGCAGACUGGGGUUCUCUUUAGGACAGUGGUGGAUAUGGUGACAGGCCAGCUUUCUGACUCCCGUUCCCGGUUUUUGGGGUUGAGGGCCCCAAAACUUUUUGCCAUUAAUGUGAGAGGUCGACGUGCGAUGCUGUGCUUAUCUAGCCGACCUUGGCUUGGUUAUAUUCACCAAGGGCAUUUUCUGUUAACGCCCCUUUCAUAUGAAACUCUUGAGUAUGCUGCUUCAUUCUCAUCUGAUCAGUGUGCAGAAGGUGUGGUUGCUGUCGCUGGGGAUGCAUUGAGGAUUUUUACAAUUGAGAGAUUGGGAGAAACAUUCAAUGAAACUGCAAUACCUCUAAGAUACACUCCAAGAAAGUUUGUGCUUCAACCUAAGCGGAAAUUGUUGGUCAUUAUUGAGAGUGAUCAAGGAGCAUAUACAGCAGAGGAGCGUGAAGCAGCAAAAAAGGAGUGCUUUGAAGCUGCUGGAAUGGGGGAAAAUGGCAGUGCCAGCGCUGAGAAGAUGGAAAAUGGUGAUGAUGAUGAUAAAGAUGACCCCCUCUCUGAUGAGCAGUAUGGUUAUCCAAAGGCUGAGGCAGACAGGUGGGUUUCUUGCAUUAGAGUACUUGACCCAAGGUCAGCUACUACUACGUGCUUGCUGGAACUUCAGGACAAUGAAGCUGCUUUUAGCUUAUGCACUGUAAAUUUCCACGACAAGGAGCAUGGAACUCUCUUAGCUGUUGGUACAGCCAAGGGACUGCAGUUUUGGCCCAAAAGAAGCUUAAUUGCUGGGUUCAUUCACAUUUAUAAAUUUGUGGAUGAUGGUAAAAGCCUGGAACUCUUGCAUAAGACACAAGUAGAAGGAGUUCCACUUGCUUUGUGUCAGUUUCAGGGAAGAUUACUUGCAGGAAUAGGGUCCGUGCUUAGAUUGUAUGACUUGGGGAAAAAAAGGCUGCUUAGAAAAUGUGAGAAUAAGCUGUUCCCCAACUCCAUUGUCUCUAUUCACACCUAUCGUGAUCGGAUUUAUGUGGGGGACAUUCAAGAAUCAUUUCAUUUCUGCAAGUACAGGCGGGAUGAAAAUCAGCUGUAUAUUUUUGCUGAUGACAGUGUUCCAAGAUGGCUUACAGCUUCAUACCAUGUAGAUUUUGAUACCAUGGCUGGUGCAGACAAGUUUGGGAAUAUCUACUUUGUGAGGUUGCCGCAGGAUGUUUCUGAUGAGAUAGAAGAAGAUCCAACUGGCGGAAAGAUAAAGUGGGAGCAGGGAAAGCUUAAUGGAGCUCCAAACAAGGUAGAGGAGAUAGUACAGUUUCAUAUUGGCGAUGUGGUUAAUUGCUUGCAGAAGGCAUCUCUAAUUCCAGGCGGUGGAGAAUGCAUCAUGUAUGGGACAGUGAUGGGGAGUGUGGGGGCCCUACUUCCAUUCACCUCUCGAGAUGAUGUUGACUUCUUUUCACACUUGGAGAUGCAUUUGAGACAAGACCACCCACCUUUGUGUGGAAGAGAUCAUAUGGCAUAUAGGUCUGCUUAUUUUCCUGUUAAGGAUGUGAUCGAUGGAGACCUAUGUGAGCAGUUCCCGACUUUGCCGCUUGAUGCACAAAGAAAAAUUGCAGAUGAGCUGGACAGAACUCCUGGGGAGAUACUCAAGAAACUUGAAGAAGUUCGAAACAAGAUCAUCUGAGGAAGGAUUAGCUUGAAGUGUCAAAGUCCAUGUGCCAUGUCAACCAAUAAGUUUAGAAAUCUGCAUCAUAUGGAAGAUUGCUGGAGCGACCCUCUGAAGAAGUGCACUUUAUGAUUGAACCCUCAGGAAAGGGGUUUGAUUUUUGACCUUCUGGCCCUUCUAGGAGAGGCUAGAAGAUUUCAAUGUCAACCCUCUUCUCCAUGCAGUGGUUCUAUCAAAACCUGUUGCAAUGGGACCUGUAUAGAUAGUAACCUGAGUGUGGUAUUAUUUAGCACCCUGCAAAUGUUGAUACUUGCAAUCAUUGUCCACCUGGUGGCAUGCCAUUGACCUUGUGGUUGGUAGUGGCUUGUUACAUGGGGGCAUAUGGGUCGUUGUAUCUGAAAUAAUGAUUGCUUUCUGUUAGUCACAGCGAGGUGAAGUGCUCUGGGCAUCAGCUUUUCUAAUUGAGGUAAAGAUAAUUUUUUUGAACAACAGCUAGAUAGUGAUGGAGGUUGAUGCUAGAUCAGUUUUCGUUGGUGAUGAAGAAGUCGCUGUAGAGAGAGCUUAGUUUGUUGUAAGAUAAACAGACAGUUGCAAUGUCAAUCUCCAAGAUGGUAUGUGUUACCAUUUGUGAAUUUGAUGGUUGCUUAGAUUUGUUGUUUUAAGUAGAAACGGGCAAAGAAUUUUAAACUGAUUGAUUAAUGCAACCAGCAGAGCAUUGCGUAGAAAAUAUGAAAGGUAGGUUAGAUCUGCUCCCCACUGUGUGCUCGUUUUUUCCACAAUUUUUGGAUCCAUUCGUUGUCGUGUUGGGGUCCAUAAUUUUGAUCGUGCUAUUUUAGG